GGUUGGAUCAUUAAAAGUACCCCCCCUCGAGUCUAGUCAAUUCGAGGGGAGACUAAUCGACCCGAUCUCUCUCUCUCUGAGCUCGACUCGGUCUCUCUCUCUCGCCUAGGCGUGAGCGAGGGUUCGAGGAAAAGUGAGGAGAUUCGAGACCCCGGGAAGCCUGGUCUAUAAACUCAACCUAAUCGUGAUAUAUAAAACGCAUAGUGUAUAACCUGAAACCCGAACUACUCGGUCGAUCCGAGGCGUGAGGGAGGGAAGGCCAAUUAGCGAGGAGAGGGAGUAAUCGAGCGUAAGCGAGAUCUCUCGAACCCCGAGAAGGAAACCUGAACUCUCGAUCGUUGAGGUGAGACCCCAAAGAGCGAGAGCGAUCUCUCUCUAUAAACUCAAAAACAACCUUAGUCAGCGGAUGUCUCGGUUACCCCUUCGAUGAAGAGCACGGCAAAAUGUGAUAAUUAUUGUGAAUUGCAAAACCAGCGAAUCAUCGAGUUCUUGAACGCACUGCGCCUUCUGGCCUCGGCCGGUCGGCAUACCACUUUCAGCGGCUUGCAAUAACUGCCAAUCAUGGCGAGUGAUCUAAGUAGGGGAAACCCUACCCCGAUCUAAGUCUAGCGAUAGCUUUCUCCCGAGUUCUAAGGGGUGUCGAGUCUCAUGACGAGCCUAGAUUCCAGAGCGAGAAUAUCCCAGAGUCCAGUGUGACUCAGGGGUAUUAAAUCUCGAGUAAUUACCUCUCUGGUUUCGACGCUAGGAAGACAAGGCAAUCUCCCUUCUCUUGGAGCUACACCCGUGGCCGAGAGGAGAGAAGACUCGCGAUAGGGGGGGCUAUCCUAAGUGCGGGAAGGAACGCUUCGCGCGUUCGUUCUACGCUAGUGAAAUCGAUCUAGUAAUUCUAAUUCCACUGGCCUCUUCUUCUUAAUCGACGAAGGGGGUCUCGCGCUUUGUAAGAGCCAAGGUUAGGGGGUCUCAGGAACGGUCGUGUCUUUUACACCUUCGACGGUCUAGCUUCUCCCCGAGUAGGGGGGCUUGUGAAACCUGAGAAUAAUACGCUCGACCAGCGAAUGAGAUAUCUUCGACCCGAGGACACUAUACUACCCAUACCACACAAAGCGAGGGGUCUCUUAGACGAGAGAGGGGAGAGCGAGCUAACGGAAGGACGAGUAAACGAGGAGUUUUGCGAUCGCAUUGCCCUGAAAGUGGUAAGACCACCCGGAGGAUUUAAGCAUAUCAAUAUCCGGAGGAAAAGAAACUAACGAGGAUUCCCCUAGUAACUGCGAGUGAAGAGGGAUGAGCUCAAGCCUAAAUCUACCAGGCUCCGGCCUGGUCGAAUUGUAGUUUUGUGAGUGAGGUCUCGGAAGGGGGAUAGAAUUGAAUUCGUCUGGAACGGCGAACCAUAGAGGGUGAUAGUCCCGUAACUUCUUUCCUUCGACCAUCAGAGUCCAAACUCCUAGAGUCGUACACCUUGAGAUUGGUGUGCAAAAUGGGUGGUAAACUCCAUCUAAAGCUAAAUAUUGGGGGGUAAUCCGAUAGUGCAAAAGUAGCGUGAGCGAAAGAUGCAAAGAACUCUGGAGAGAGAGUUAAAAGUACCUGAAACUGACUAAGGGGAAGCGAUCGGUCGUAGCCACACGGGGAGUCUAGUCCAAGUUGAGUUCGCCUAGGUAGGGGAAAGAUUAGAGGGCGAAAGUCCUCGGUCCUACUCUAUCGAAAGCGGGGUCGAUGGCAAGCUAGGUAACUCGGUCAAUAAGGAUUGGUAUCAUAGUUUAAGAAACCUCUUCGGGGGAAGCCGUUUGUCAGGCGGUGGAUCCCGAGGAGACUAUUAGGCUUGGCCGGUCCUAGCAUUAAGCUCAUCCUGGAGGCCGCAAGGCGAGGCAGAUUCCGACGUCGGGUUUCUCGGGUCGAGUACUACUUGUAGUUCUCGGUUCGAGGGGUCUCUCAUAGGGGUCGAGUCUCUCUCUGGGGGGUAUUGAUCGUGCGAGAUUGAUUGUCCCGUCUUGAAACACGGACCAAGGAGUUUAUCGGUGUGCCGAGUCUAAGAGUGUGGAAAACUCUUAGGCGAAGCGAAAGCAUAGGGAACCUAUCGAGCUUCGGCUUGCCGCAGUUCCGUUCUCUCUUCGGGUUUACUCGAUGAGGGAAAAGGAGGUGCACCGAUAAGACCCGAAAGAAGGUGAACUUUACCUGUAUAGGUUGAAGCCGAAAGAAAUUUCGGUGGAGGAUCGUAGCGAUACUGACGUGCAAAUCGUUCGUCGAAUAUGGGCAAAGCGGCGAAAGACUAAUCGAAUCUUCUAGUAGCUGGUUCCUUU
rnacentral:misc_RNA from 1 species